rnacentral:lncRNA from 1 species
CCCGUCACUCCCUCGCCGAGCACGAGGCCGAGCGGGUCCUGGUGCGCUCCUCCGUCUGCGCGCGCGAUGACGGCGCCGUGACUUCGCCCACUCUUUCGCUUCGCCCUCACCGGCAUUUCCACCUCGGGACCUGCGUGGCUCCCCUAGGCCGGGCGCCGCUAUAGUGAGGAUUCGUUGCAAAGGCCGAAGGAAUGGCCAUUGGUUUCCCUUGACGGGGGGAAAGUAUAUUCGGAAAUAGGUCGACCUCUUGUAGGGCAUCUGCUGUCUUUCUUGCGUGGAAGUCCCUUGGAGACGGUUUCAGGAAAUGUAUGAAAAUAUAAUACUUUCUUAACCAUGAUUGUGUGAUGCGACGGUGAAGUUUGUGUUAGAAAAUCUUACGAAAACCACUCAGAAUCUCAAGACACAAGUGUUGCUUGUAAAUACCCUUUCUAUAUGCAGACGUCCUUGGAAUAUGAUGAAAUAUGAAGUUAACAAAAUGCUAAAGUCUUGGAAAGAAUUGAUAGUCGAUUCAGUUUUUGUCUGAAAAGCAUUACUGGUUUUAUUGCAUAGUUAAUUACCAUAAAACACCUUUUCGUUGUGUCCUAGGAAAUAUUGAAUGAUCAAGCACCUAACAGGUCCUCAAGUGAGAACUACCCCCACCCUCCUUCACACACUCUGAUUCUGGCGAAGAAUACGCGACGCCCAUUGCCUCACACAAGGGAAAGAUAUCUUCUUGAGGCCCAAUUCUAGAUUUGGGCCGCCCAGUCUGGAGGAUCAGUAACAGCAACGAAGCUCCCGCCCCUCACACCCGUGGCUUGCCCGUGUAGAGGCGCCCACGAGUUGUUAACUUCGCUGGAUUCUUCUGCUGCUGCUCUCAGACGCUCUCCUAGGACUAAGGACGUCACGGAAUCCCAAGCAACAUCACGAGGACAGCUGACGGCGGCCUCGACUUCGCCAGGAAUGGUGCCACGCCUGCCCAAGGACCUCAUCUUGACCUAGUGCUGUCUGCUCCUCAUAGUGGUAGGUGCCAGUGCGCUGAGACUGUUGGUAAGAAA